GAAAACCAACCAACCACUUGGCCACACAUGUAAAAACUACUCAGCCUCUAUGCAAUCUAUCCCCUUUGACAAGCCCGUACUGGCCUCUUGGUGUCUGUCCACUUCUACCUGGUAAGUUGGCCCUUCAGGAACUACACCUGGCCAAAUUACAGGCUGAAAGAUUAUGAUAGAAAUGUCAUUAAUUCAAGCUAUGCAUUCCCACUGACUCAGCUGUGCCCUUCACAGCUGUAACUGAUAAAGGUCUGGACGUGCAGUUCACAGCAGAGGAGAGAGACUGUGGCUGCUCUGGACACAUCUGGACGACAGGCACCCAGCCCUCAAGAUGCUGUCUGCCAGCUAGGUGGAAACACCUCAUGUGAAUGGGCCCAUUUGCUUCCUCUCCACUCCAAAAGGGGAUGAGAAGAGGAAUGUUGAAAUCUCAAUAUACCACAGGCAGCUAACAGCUCAGGAGAGGAUCGUGCUCCAAAUGUUCAUCGAGCCAAUUAUUGGGACUUCUCU
rnacentral:lncRNA from 1 species